UACGUAGGGUGCGAGCGUUGUCCGGAAUCACUGGGCGUAAAGGGCGCGUAGGCGGCCUGAUAAGUAGGGGGUGAAAUCCUGCGGCUUAACCGCAGGGCUGCCUUCUAAACUGUCAGGCUGGAGCACAGUAGAGGCAGGUGGAAUUCCCGGUGUAGCGGUGGAAUGCGUAGAGAUCGGGAAGAACAUCAGUGGCGAAGGCGGCCUGCUGGGCUGUUGCUGACGCUGAGGCGCGACAGCGUGGGGAGCAAACAGG
rnacentral:rRNA from 1 species